UCAGAGUAUAAUUCAUAAUAAAUAGGAAAAGAAAUGGACGUUUUGGAAUUAUCUCACUCGUUUAUAACUUUUGUUUGAGUUUUAUACUUAAACAUCACAAAAAUUAAUAAUAGUUUUGACAGGGAUUCAGCAGUUAAUGAACAUGCUUUACUGCAUGCAUGCAUACCUACAUACAUGCACUUGUCCAUGUAUAGCUAGUGUUGUAGGUCACGAGACAGGUUAUAUACCAAUUUGAUGUCUUGGUAGGGCUUUUCUGGGUUGUGCUUUUGGAAUGCCUGGUUUUGAUUGCAACAUUUUCAUUUUUUUCAUUGAAGUUUCUGUAACCCACUGCCACUCAACAGAGUCCUUGACAUCGACUCUUCAAACCGUGUGGCACUUGAGACAGUGAAGAAUGGGAAGAAGCUCAGGAGCUGUAUUCCAUACAACAACCUGAGGCCAUUCCUCCAGAGCCAGUUGCACUGUGACAGACACCUGUAGGACCACACAAAUGGAAUGCAGCCCUCCAGCAUUCAGGGACCUGUGCAGCCAUCAGCUGACACUGCACAACACCUGUUGAAGCACACAUAUGGAAUGCAGCCCUCCAGCAUUCAGGGACCUGUGCAGUCAUCAGCUAACACUGCACAGCAAGGAAUCACCUGUGGAACUGUUCCUGUCAGAUUUUUUGGUGUUGGAAAACUGACAAUAUUGUCUACUUUAGAUUGUAGGGACAUUACUGCUAUAUAAUGCACAAAGGGGUUCAUACUGCAUCUGCAAAACUUUAUGAGCUGAGCCAUGAUACAAUAAGGUAAACAGCCUAACACAUUCACUCUUCCUAAGAUUGCCUGCUGAGCUGAAUAGCUCGGAGGGACAGCAGCAGUGUGAAGCUCGCCUGGCUCCUUCCCUGCAACGAGAGGUUCCCCUGGUCCCUGCCCAUGGAAAUCCAAGUGAAGCGAAGAGGGAAAUAUUGAUUGAAAGGGAAGUGGCUGAGUGACCUCCACAUAGAUCAUGCACAGCAUUUGCUUGGCAACAGUUUCCUCCAUGUUUUGGGUUUCUAGUCUACUGUUGUCUUUGAAAGUCCAAAAUGUGUACAUGUUAAAAGUCCCAGUAGUUCCUUUGUCCAAAUGUUACAUGUAUGCAAAAGUCACUGGCUUACAGUAAGUAACCUUCAUUGUGAUAAUAACACUGUCAAGGUGUAUGACAGCUUAAACAGCAGGUUGGAAAUCACAAACAAAUUUGGUUGCCAGCUGGCUGCUCUAGUGAACUGUAGUUCACAAGUAAAAGUAGAAGUUAUAAAAGUUCAGCAGCAGGAGAGAUACUCAGAAUGUGGUUUGUUUGCUGUUGGUUUUGCUACCAGUCUUUGUUUUGGCAUCCAACCUGCGACUCAAAAUUUUGUUCAGAAAGAAAUGAAGAGCCACCUUGCAUCCUGCUUUCAGAAGUGGGUACUGGAACCUUUCCCAGUCUUUCCCUCUAUCAUUACCCCUACAAGUAGCAAGUAUCAUGUUAUGGAUUUGUGUUUAAAGUGUAGGAGGCCCAAGUAUGAAGAUGGUAGUUUGAUAGAGUGUUGUGUAACAGCAUGUAUCAUUCUACCUGUGUGGAGUUUUCUGCUGACUUUUUUGUUUGCACUGCAUGGCAGCAGGAAAUACCAUAUCUAUAAAUAGGUAGGGUGGGGUGAUAAUGAUAGCCAAAUGGCAAGUUGGAAACACUCUCUCUCUCUCUCUCU